rnacentral:tRNA from 1 species
CACCGGGUAGCGAAGCGGUCACGCACCCGCCUGCAAAGCGGAGGACGCCAGUUCGAAUCUGGCCCCGGUGUCCA